rnacentral:ncRNA from 1 species
CGAUUCCACUGGGGGUGCACGGAAACGUGCUGAGAGAGGCUCGAAGCUUCAACCCUUUGAACUUGACCUGGUUUGCACCAGCGUAAGAAAGUGGGAUUCGGCCAUC